GCACUCGGAGCGGCCGGCCGGCACCACCGGCCCUGGGCAGUGAGGGGCUUAGCACCUGGGCCGGCAGCUGCUGUGCUCAAUUUCUCGCCGGGCCUUAGCUGCCUUCCCGCGGGGCAGAGCUUGGGACCUGCAGCCCACCAUGCCUGAGCCUCCGCCCCCUCCGUGGGCUCCUGUGCCUCCCGAGCCUCCCCGACGAGUGUCGCCCCCUGCUCCACGGCGCCCAGUCCCAUCGACGGCCCAAGGGCUGAGGAGUGCGGGCGCUCAGCGCGGGACUGUCAGGCAGCUCCACCUGCAGCCCCGGUGCGGGAUACACUGGGUGAAGCCAGCUGGGCUCCUGAGUCUGGUGGGGACUUGGAGAACCUUUAUGUCUAGCUAAGGGAUUGUAAAUACACCAAUCAGCACCGUGUGUCUAGCUCAGGGUUUGUGAAUGCACCUAAUCGACACUCUGUAUCUAGCUAGUCUGGUGGGGACGUGGAGAACCUUUGUAUCUAGCUCAGGUAUUGUAAACGCACCAGUCAGCGCCCUGUCAAAACAGACCACUCAGCUGUUUUGACCCUGUCAAAACAGACCAAUCAGCAGGAUGCAGGUGGGGCCAGAUAAGAAAAUAAAAGCAGGCUGCCCGAGCCAGCAGUGGCAACCGGCUUGGUCCCCUUCCACACUGCGGAAGCUUUGUUCUUUCGCUCUUUGGGUCCACGCUGCCUUUAUGAGCUGUAACACUCACCAGGAAGGUCUGCAGCUUCACUCCUGAGCCAGCGAGACCAGGAACCCACCAGAAGGAACAAACUCCGGACACUCCGCCUUUAAGAACUGUAACACUCACCACGAGGGUCUGCAGCUUCAUUCUUAAAGUCAGUGAGACCAAGAAGCCACCAAUUCCGGACACAUAAUGGUGAAUGAGAACUACAAAUUUAAAGAUGGCUGAUGACGGUUUUCAGGAAGUGGUCUUGGCUUUUUUUUUUUUUUUUUUCCCUCCUAGGAAGUUGUUUAGGAUCCUAAUUCUAAUUCAGAGGUGCAUUCUAAAGAGUAUUCUCCAUUGCCUUGCCUACUGGUAUUAAUUUCGAUUGGCUUGUUUGCGUAUUUGCAUGAGGAACCGAACUGUCGUUUUCAUAAACAAACGAAAAACUGAGUUUUCUCAGCUCUGAAGAAAAAGGGCAUUUUGCUCCUCCCAGCUGAAAGGCGCCCCUGGGUAACCAGGGGCCAAGUGGGAGUGUCUGGGGGGGUUGAUCUCCCCCACCCCCCCCACAAUGUGCAGUGGCCCUACAGGGAACUCCCAACAAAAUUAGUUUUAAAAUGCUCAUACAGGAAGUGCAUAUAGAAGCUGAUCACUCCACACUUUGAGCCCUCCUGGAGGUGCUAGACCAAUGGAGAGAGAAACUGAGGCAAGUAAGAGGGCGGAAAUGAAUCAGUGGUGACACACUAUGAAGUCCCACACAGAAUCAGCACACACGACUCACUCCACUAAAAACCUUGGCCACAGCUCAGUUCCUCAUUUUGAGAAAAAAAAAUGUGAAAAACAAAUCGUCUAUGAAUAAUGAAAGACAAGAAGAAUGACCCCUCUCAGGCACCCUAUUUGGUUUUAUGGUGCCCCUACUUGCAGGUGGUUGUGUAAAUGGAAGGGCACACCAGGUUUUUCAGUUCUCCAGGUGGUUACACAUUAGGUCUGUUCUUGUGAACAUUUUAAAUUGACAGGUAAAUUGCAUUAAGGAAAAUUCAGAGCCUGAAGGUCGACCUGCACCUAUAACGUUCCCAAGUUCUCCAUCACUCUGCUUUCUUUUCUGCCUGUUUUAAGUCUGCUGUGACUUCUCUACUGAGAUAAAAAUCCACUGUUUGCAUCCAACCAUUUAUUUUGCUAUAGUUUUUGCAAACCAAUGAGUUUGUAUUAAUAUCUUAUGGCUAGGGUUCUGAAGUAAAAGCUAUAGGAUCUUUGUUUGCAUUAGUUUAUAUGUGUGGGUUUAUGUAUAUGUACACGUAUUUUGUUACAUGUUUUUGGCCACUAGGUACAAAAUUUGGCUUAAAGAAUACUCAAAAACUAAAUAAUCCCAAAUGCUUUUCAAGUUCAUGUGAAUUAGGUAAAAUCUUUAAUAAGCUAGCUUUAAAAUUAUUUGUAAAGUAAUAUUACAAAUGUGUUAAGAAAUGUCAGCACACAUUUUUGUUUGCAUUUAUUGAUCAAGAGAUGUCAUACUUAUUAUUGUCAAAUACUAUAAGGCGUCAAAAUUUGACAUAAGGGUUAUUAAACUAUAAACUCAGCCCAAAACAGAAUUAUCUUUGCUUGUAUUUUUUAUAAAUAAGACAAUAAUAUUGGUUUAAUGAAAACAGCCCAGUCUUUAAUUAUUUAGUAAAAUAACCAUAUGUUGACUCUUAAGUUUCUUAUGUAAACACUUGAAAUUCACAGGCUAUAAAAUGGCUGACAGGCAAAGAACUUUAAAUGAUCACUAUCUCAGUUUUCAUAAAUUAGGUAAACUAGUAAAAUAAAACAAUUAGGAAAAGGUAAUGGGAUAAAUACUUGUAGAAAAAUUUGUCAUAAUUUAGAACCUAAAGUUAAAUUAAAUAAUGGAUUUUUUAAAUGGGUAUUUUCCAAUUAAAAAAUAUAUAUAAUAGAAAAGCAUUUUUUCCUACAAAAAACUGUGUUGAUGCUAAAAGGUGAAUAAUUUUUGUCUAAUUCAAAGCUCAUUUAAAGGUUAUGUAUAAAACAAGGUAAAAGGAACCAGGAAUUAAGAAAUAAGAAAGACGUAAAGAAAGAUAUAGAAAUAUGGGGGGCAUUUUUUGUAAAGAAAGCUUAAAGAAAAAUAAUUUUAUGAGAAAGAAACUUGUAUGGUAAAAUUUUGCCCUAGAAUAAAAUGAUUGUCUAAGAAAGAGGGAUGUUCAGGGCAAACCAUGUACCAAGCAUGUCAUGUAUGGUCUGUGAGAGACAUAAUAAGAGGAUUUAUAUUAAAAAAAAAAAAAACCAAAAAACUUUUCUAUGAUCUAGUUGUCUAUAAUUAAAGGAAAAUUAUUUAUUAUGGUCUUUCUAGAGAUUGGGUUUUGAUAUGUAAAGAAAACCCACUUAUAUGCUAAAUAAUUACUUAGAACAAUAAGACUUUUUAAGGUAUUGUUUUACUCGUAAUAAAAUUACAAAACAUAAUAUAUAUUACG
rnacentral:lncRNA from 1 species